rnacentral:lncRNA from 1 species
UGAUGCCGGCGGCGGCGGCGCGCGGUGCUUCGGGGGGCCCGAGUGCUCGGGGCUGAGCGCAGCAGGGACGGCUGUGGGUGGCAGCUGAUCUCGGGGUGAUGGGAAUGUCCGUCCUGCGGGAUGCGCUCACACACGCCUCUUUCCUCGCAGCUGAGUGCUGGUCCGCUGAGGAGCUCCUCCCCGCAGGGUCCGGGGAUGGAGCAGCGCUUGGGCAAGAUGUCCUCGAAGCAGUUCUGCAGGAGGGCGCGCCGGGAGGUAGGUGGGGCUGCGGAUGUGGCUGGGAGCACGGGAACUCUGUGGGACUUGUGUGUGGGACAGCGAGGAUGGGGACCCACUACUCCGUGCCUUGGGACACAGAGCAGGUGGGAGAGCACCCCCGUGGUACAGGAGAGAGUUGGGAAGGCCAGGAAUUGUCUGUGACUACAAAUGGGAGGGUUUUGGUCUCCCCAUCCCUGCAUGACAUUCUCCUGGUAAAGGAGAGGGAGCCAGCAGCAGUGGGGAGGCUCUCAUCCUGCUUUUCUCUCCCCGUGUCCCCUCUGCAGCCCUAUCUGCGUCAGGCUGGGCCAUCGCCUCCACGUGCUCAUGGCCCCCGGGAUGCCUGGCGCAAUCCUCCAUGGGAGCAGCAGCACCGAAGAGCUGGGGGAAGAAUGCGUCUGCCCGGUGCCAGGCAGCCCAGGCCUUUCCCUGGCCCUGCUAACAUCCACCAGUACGAGGAGAAUUGGAGAUGGGCCCCCCAGAACCGUGAUGUGCCACCACCUCCCUGGAUGUACAGAGAGGACCAUCAGAGCCAUGAGAUACCACAGCUGCGUCACCGGGACUUCUUUGCCCAGCCUGAGUUCCCCAGCCAGGAGCAGCGUCCUGCUGGAUUCCCUCGGGAGCAAGAAGACAACUGCUCACCCCAGCGCCAUUGUGGCCCACGCCGGAGACGCUGCCGACUCCUUCGGCCCAUCCAGCAGGAGACAGCAGACAACAGCUGUUCUCCCCACAGCUCCCAAGGGUACCAUCCAUCCUCCAAGCCCUCUCAGUCCUGCUCCCCAGAGAGCCAGCUGGGGCUCAGAGAGCAUCUCGCUGCUCCCCAGUCACCUGCUGCCUGCAAAAACAGUCUGCAAAGCGCGCAGCAGGUGGAUGAGGGCCAGCGGGUGGCAAGCAGUGAGGCACUGGAACGGCCCAGGCGUGCAGAGAAGAGCUCAGAGAAGAGCCCGGGCACUGACCCCCAGGCAGCGGAGCAGAAGCCAGCGGCAGGAGCAAAGCCAGUUGGGCCUGAAGGAGGAGAGGGAGCUGCAGGCAACCAGCAGCUCUCUGCCCUGGAGUUGGAGCCGGUCUCCUCGGAGACAACCAGCACCAGCGAGGAGGAAGGCUUGGAGCUGGCUGCAGGCUUCCAGAGCUCACCCCGCCCCCUGCGCUCCGCACUUUCCCCCACCAGCACAGACCUGCGCUCUGCUGCCAUCCUCACCAAGAAGGAGAGCAUCGAGCAGGGGUACCACGACUUCUGCCUCAGCUUUGCCCUGGUGUCCUCGCUGCUGCUGCAGAAGGAGCCCUCCAUGGAGGCGAUGCUGAUGAAGGCACUGAGAGCCAACCUGUGCGACCUCCGCAACCGCCUCCUGGAUGAGAUGGAGGACUUCAUCCAGCAGUACGAUGCGACGCACCCCAGCUGCUGA